AUAUCCCGAUUAGUGUAGUACCUGUUCUUAUCAGUUUAAUAUCUGAUAUGUUCUUGAUGAGAGGACUUUAUAUUAAACAGCUUUUUGGGGCCAGGAGUUGGACCCGGAGCUUGCUCCCAUAAUCAAUUUUUUUUUUUUUGCCCCAUCCCUGGAUGUCUUCAA
rnacentral:snRNA from 1 species